UCCUGGUUAACCCAGGCAGUCUCGCUAGAGUUCCCAGCAUUACCUGUUGGCAACUAACGAUAAGGGUUGCGCUCGUUGCGGGACUUAACCCAACACCUCACGGCACGAGCUGACGACAGCCAUGCAGCACCUGUGCAGAGGCCCCGAAGGGCGCUAUCAUCUCUGAUAGAUUCCUCUGCAUGUCAAACCUGGGUAAGGUUCUUCGCGUUGCAUCGAAUUAAACCACAUGCUCCACUGCUUGUGCGGGUCCCCGUCAAUUCUUUUGAGUUUCACCCUUGCGAGUGUACUCCUCAGGCGGUAUACUUAUCGCGUUUGCUACGGCACAACCAGGGUUGAGUCCGGUUACACCAAGUAUACAUCGUUUACAGCAAGGACUAC
rnacentral:misc_RNA from 1 species